UUCCGGUUGAUCCCGCCGGAGGUCACUGCUAUCGGUGUCCGAUUAAGCCAUGCGAGUCGUGAGGUGUAAGACCUCGGCGGACUGCUCAGUAACACGUGGAUAACCUGCCCAAAAGUCCGGGAUAACCCCGGGAAACUGGGGAUAAGACCGGAUAGAUCACCUGUGCUGGAAGGCUUGGUGGUUUAAACGUGAGGCUUUUGGAUGGGUCUGCGGCGGAUUAGGUUGACGCCGGUGUAAUGUACCGGCGUGCCUGUAAUCCGUACGGGUUGUGGGAGCAAGAGCCCGGAGAUGGAUUCUGAGACACGAAUCCAGGCCCUACGGGGCGCAGCAGGCGCGAAAACUCUACAAUGCAGGCAGCUGCGAUAGGGGGACAUCGAGUGGCAUCCACCUUGGGUGCCUGUCCAAUCGUCUAAAAAACGGUUGUUAGCAAGGGCCGGGCAAGACCGGCGCCAGCCGCCGCGGUAAUACCGGCGGCUCGAGUGGUGGCC
rnacentral:rRNA from 1 species